rnacentral:rRNA from 1 species
UGGGGAAUUUUGGACAAUGGGCGCAAGCCUGAUCCAGCAAUGCCGCGUGAGUGAAGAAGGCCCUCGGGUUGUAAAGCUCUUUUGUCAGGGAAGAAAAGGUGAUCUCUAAUACAGGUCACUCAUGACGGUACCUGAAGAAUAAGCACCGGCUAACUACGUGCCAGCAGCCGCGGUAAUACGUAGGGUGCAAGCGUUAAUCGGAAUUACUGGGCGUAAAGCGUGCGCAGGCGGUCAUAUAAGUCAGAUGUGAAAUCCCCGGGCUCAACCUGGGAACUGCAUUUGAGACUGUAUGGCUAGAGUGUGUCAGAGGGGGGUAGAAUUCCACGUGUAGCAGUGAAAUGCGUAGAUAUGUGGAGGAAUACCGAUGGCGAAGGCAGCCCCCUGGGAUAACACUGACGCUCAUGCACGAAAGCGUGGGGAGCAAACA